rnacentral:rRNA from 1 species
UACGUAGGGUGCAAGCGUUAAUCGGAAUUACUGGGCGUAAAGCGUGCGCAGGCGGUUGUGCAAGACCGAUGUGAAAUCCCCGGGCUUAACCUGGGAAUGGCGAUGAAGACUGCAAGGCUAGAAUCUGGCAGAGGGGGGUAGAAUUCCACGUGUAGCAGUGAAAUGCGUAGAGAUGUGGAGGAACACCGAUGGCGAAGGCAGCCCCCUGGGUCAAGAUUGACGCUCAUGCACGAAAGCGUGGGGAGCAAACGAGGAUUACGAAACCCGU